GGGGAGGAGCGAAGUGAAACUGCAGCAGGUUGAGUGAGGUAGCCCAGAGACAUGAAUUGGUAUUGGGCCCAAACAGAGGAUGUGAGGAAACCAAUGGAGCAGAUAUGACCAUCUUGUCGUUACUGACACACAAGAGCAUCGGGUCAGUUAUAAAGCAACAAUUCCCCACAACAGUUCAGGAGAACUGGAGGUCAAUUGCCUGGAGAGCAGAUGUCGACAAGCUGCCGAAAACGGAUAGCUGUAGUGUGGUGAAAUCUCUAACCUGCGGGAGCGCUAGAGCCAGCGCUCCAUGUGGAAGUGAAGAGCGCACUGCCAGGAUGCAAACCUGCACUCCCCAGGGCCCUGACCACGCGACUGUGCCUAUACAAGUACCUUCCCUGGUCUGAGUCUGUGGAGGCGUUGUUAUCCCGUGUACUGACACCAUAUGUGACCCAGAUGGCUUUGUGGUGACAUCAGACCAGGAAAUGAAUGGACUCUCACACAGUAUUAUGAGUAAAGAACCAGCGAGUGUGCCGUCAGCCUGACAGAGACAGCUGCUGAAGA